rnacentral:misc_RNA from 1 species
ACUGGACUAGCGUAAGAAGUAUAACAAGAAAAAGUUCUUACAUAUUAUUAUUUGCAUUUUAUAUUAACAUACGUAAAUAAUGCAUGAAUAAGCAUGUUCAGUAAUGACCAAGUGUGAACCACUCGGAUAAUUCGAACCGUGUCCGCGGUUACGCGAUAACCCGCAACCGCCAAUAACGAGUCUUCGCGCAUUUUAUGUCAUCUUACCGGUUUAUAGAUGAACUGAGAUCGAGCGGAUAGCUGACGACUUUCCUGUGAGCUCGUGUUUCUUGUACAACCGUGUUAUGUGACGACGGAUUAUUUGUUUCCUUUUACAUUUCAUUAAAAUAUCUAAUAAGGAAUUUCACUGGUUUUAAUAUUUUUUUCAUUACAAUAACAGGACUAUUAUACUAGUCUCAGAAACACGAUAAAACUGGUCUUUGCCGUUUGUUUAAAACAUGUCAAUUUUUUUUUAUUUAACUAAAAAAGCCUUAAGUAUGCCCCUUUGUUCUCAUUAUUAUUAUUAUUUUUUUUUUUUUGUUGUAAAUAUGUGUAUUAUUUUUAAUGUGUGUCUGAAAAUGUAUAAAAAAUUUUAUAUUUAUAAUAUUUCUAGUUUUUGAAGACUCGUACUCCCUAUGGUAAUAAGAAUAUGAAAAAAAAACCAAGACAUAGGGGCAUGGUCAUGGCAGUUCAAGGUUUUAUGUAAUGAAAAUAUUUGGUCUAGUGUCAUUAUCCUGGGAGAAAACAAUCGAAUACGUUUAUAUGGAGAAAGAGCCGGUAUCUUUUCCUUUUAAUGUAUCAGUCUAAUAAUAGAAGAUAGACAGAUAGAACUGAUGUACAAAAAUGUCAGCUAUAAGCAAGAAUAAAGCCUCCCAGAAAGAAUUCGUAUAAAAAUUUGCCAAUUGUUCGCAUAGAA